rnacentral:siRNA from 1 species
GACAAUCAACAUUUUCCCGCCAAA